rnacentral:rRNA from 1 species
GGAGGGGNCGAGCGUUAUUCGGAAUUAUUGGGCGUAAAGGGCGCGUAGGCGGCCCGGUAAGUCAAAGGUGAAAUCCCUCGGCUCAACUGAGGAACUGCCUUUGAAACUGUCGGGCUUGAGGCCGGGAGGGGGUAGCGGAAUUCCCAGUGUAGCGGUGAAAUGCGUAGAUAUUGGGAGGAACACCGGUGGCGAAGGCGGCUACCUGGACCGGUUCUGACGCUGAUGAGCGAAAGCUAGGGGAGCAAACGGGAUUAGAUACCCCGGUAGUCCUAGCCCUAAACGAUGAAUGCUUGGUGUGACGGGUAUCGAUCCCUGUCGUGCCGAAGCUAACGCAUUAAGCAUUCCGCCUGGGGAGUACGGUCGCAAGGCUG